rnacentral:miRNA from 1 species
UGGCAGAAGUACUGGACUUAG